GAAGAAAUGGAAGCAGUAGCACAGCAUGAUGCUGAAUAGACCUUGGUAUGGAAGAGUGGCUAGCUUAAAAUCAUCUUGUUCCUUUCUAGAUUAAUCCAUCUCUUGCUCUGUCUUCAGUCUUCUCAAUAUUGCCCAGAGCUGGAAAACAAGCAGAUGAAGGAAGUGUCUUUUGAGGAAGUUGGAGUGCACAUGGCUGGAACUGUUCAGAGCACUCUAUGUAAGCCAUAAAAAUUCAAGAGUCAGAAGCAAGCUGUUCUUCCUGAUGAGUUAAGUGGAGCAUUUUAGCACAGCUGAAUUGCUGCAAGCCUUGGUGGAACAAAUCUAUUAGUGGUAUGGCUUGAAACAAUACACAAAAGAGCCCUGUGUGUGGUCUGCUCUACAUGCUUUUCACUUCCUUAUGUUAAACAAUAAAUCUCUGAGUCAGCUAGAACUCGGAGACUAACAUCCAACGAGAGCCGCAUUUUAUCUUUUAUUCAUUGGCAGGAACAUAGCUGUAGGAGGUAUUCAAAUCACACUUUUAUUUAAACAAACACAGCUGGAUCACAGCCUCUUAAUAUAGC
rnacentral:lncRNA from 1 species